rnacentral:rRNA from 1 species
AUUGAACGCUGGCGGAAUGCUUAACACAUGCAAGUCGAACGGCAGCACGGGGCAACCUGGUGGCGAGUGGCGAACGGGUGAGUAAUACAUCGGAACGUGCCCAGUCGUGGGGGAUAACGUAGCGAAAGUUACGCUAAUACCGCAUACGAUCUAAGGAUGAAAGCGGGGGAUCGCAAGACCUCGCGCGAUUGGAGCGGCCGAUGUCAGAUGAGGUAGUUGGUGGGGUAAAGGCCUACCAAGCAGACGAUCUGUAUCUGCUCUGAGAGGACGACCGGCCACACUGGGACUGAGACACGGCCCAGACUCCUACGGGAGGCAGCAGUGGGGAAUUUUGGACAAUGGGCGCAAGCCUUAUCCAGCCAUGCCGCGUGCAGGAUGAAGGCCUUCGGGUUGUAAACUGCUUUUGUACGGAGCGAAAAGGCUCUCUCUAAUACAGGGGGCUCAUGACGGUACCGUAAGAAUAAGCACCGGCUAACUACGCGCCAGCCGCCGCUGUAAAAC